rnacentral:lncRNA from 1 species
CCAAGACUGUUGUUCAAGAUGAUCUUGUCCUGCACCCUAAGGUGGUGCUUGAGCAAAAAGUUAGACAAUUUGCUCAUGCAAUUCCUUCGCAGAGUUUUGCUUCCAUUUUAAGGCUUUGAACUCCAGUUUACCCUCUCACCUACGAAUAUGUCCAAAACGAACAAGUAUCAUACUGCCAAUUCUCAGAGCCAUUCUGCCUAAGCUUUCAUAAUCUAAGGUAGAUAAAAUCCUUAUUCCAUGAGAUGCUUGAUCAGUGGUAUACUCCAUUUUAAACGGUCAAAGACAUCUUCUGUGGAUCAAAGUUCAGUGACAUAACUAAGAAUCUUAAAUAUAUUUAAUCCAUAUAUGAGAGGUUAUUCUACAAUAAUGAAAAACAAAAGCUAAGGGAACAAACAUCAUUGAUUGAUUGUGUUGAUUUUCUUGUUUAAAUGAUCUCAACUGCGCUCCAAUAUGGAUAAGAAACUUCAGACCCUUUCCAACUAUCCUUUGGCAGCAACAUUCACCUUUUAUUCUCCAGCUUACAUGUAGGGCAACAUAGUCAAAUUUGUGAACUCUAUACUCACCUUAGUAUAGGAUCAGACAUUGGCAAGAAGUUAGACAAUUUGCUCAUGCAAUUCCUUCGCAGAGUUUUGCUUCCAUUUUAAGACUUUGAACUCCAGUUUACCCUCUAACCUACGAAUAUGUCCAAAACGAACAAGUAUCAUACUGCCAAUUCUCAGAGCCAUUCUGCCUAAGCUUUCAUAAUCUAAGGUAGAUAAAAUCCUUAUUCCAUGAGAUGCUUGAUCAGUGGUAUACUCCAUUUUAAACGGUCAAAGACAUCUUCUGUGGAUCAAAGUUCAGUGACAUAACUAAGAAUCUUAAAUAUAUUUAAUCCAUAUAUGAGAGGUUAUUCUACAAUAAUGAAAAACAAAAGCUAAGGGAACAAACAUCAUUGAUUGAUUGUGUUGAUUUUCUUGUUUAAAUGAUCUCAACUGCGCUCCAAUAUGGAUAAGAAACUUCAGACCCUUUCCAACUAUCCUUUGGCAGCAACAUUCACCUUUUAUUCUCCAGCUUACAUGUAGGGCAACAUAGUCAAAUUUGUGAACUCUAUACUCACCUUAGUAUAGGAUCAGAC